AUGGGCCUGUGAUGAGAGUGCAGCCUGAGCGAUCUACACAAUGCCUUCAGGGUCGUUCUUCCAUCGUCCUGAAACAUUCAAGAGAAUGAAGCUGCUCCUUCAAUACUUUGCUUAGAUAUUUCUUCUGCCAAAUUUCAGGUUCAUCGCUGGCAAGUUCUGCCUUCCAGAAAACACUAGGACAUGAGCACAAUUCAGCCAAGUUCUCUGUCACAUUAUGACAAGCGUCACCUUUCCUCCAAUGUCCGAUAACGUGUUCUUCAUUGCCAUCUGAGGCUUCAUCUGAAUGAGUUUUCCCUUCUGUAUUUUUAUUUUUUAAAGAGACUGGGUCUCCCACUGUUGGCCAGGAUGGUCUUGAACUCUCAUCCUCAAACAAUCCUCCCGUCUUGGCCUCCCAAAGUGCUAAGAUUCCAGGCAUGAGACACCAUGCCCGACACCCUCCAUAUGCUACCAACAUUCUGUCCAGCUCUCCUCUUCUCAGCCCUCGCCAGAAUCACCCUUAACCAAGAGUCACAGGGAGAAGACAGCCACCCACACUUCAAGAGACAGGCCUGGAACAGAGCCUUCCUGCACAGCCUCAGAAGGGACUCACCCUGAUGCCACCUUGAUCUUGGACCCAUGGCCUCCAGUACUGUGAGACAGUAACAUUCUGUUGUUAAAGGUGCCCAGUCUGUGGUACUGUAAAACAGCCCUAGGAAACUAACACAGCCUGUUAGCCCACAGAUGGUGGAGAGAUGGAAUGCUCAGUGGAGCUCCAGGCUUACUGUCUACAGCUCCCAAAGUGCGCUACGGGACCCUUGGGUGGGUGAGGUAUGCAAGGUAAUUUUGGGUGGUGCAGGGUGAAAAAUUUCAAUUGACAUAAAAAUGUGUUUAUCUUACUGGGUAAAUCAGGGGUCCUCACCUGUUAGGAACCAGGCUGCACAGCAGGAGGUGAGCAGCCAGCCAGCAAGCAAAGCUUCAUCUGUAGAAACAGCCGCUCCCCAUCCCUCACAUUACUACAUGAGCUCUGCCACCUGUCACAUGAGUGGUGCCGUUACAUUCUCAUAGAAUCCAACUGUGAACUGAGCAUGCCAAGGAUCUAGAUUGCGUGCUCCUUAUGAGAACCCAAUGCCUGAUGAUCUGUGACUAUCUCCCAUCACCUCCUGAUGGGACCAUGUAGUUGCAGGAAAACAAGCUCAGGGCUCCCACUAAUUCUAUAUUAUGGUGAGUUGUGUAAUUAUUUCAUUAUAUAUUACAGUGAAAUAAUCAUAGAAAUAAAGCACACAAUAAAUGUAAUGGGCUUGAAUCAUCUCUGAAUCAUCCCUUCCCCUUCUCCCAGGUCCGUGGAAGAGCUGUCUUCAAGAAAACUGCUCUCUGGUGCCAAAAAGUUUGGGGACCGCUGGUGUAAAUGUUUCUAAUAGUUAAACAACAUAAACUUUACAUGCUAUGAAGAAUACAGGUUUAAAUGCUAAUAAAAAUAGGUGCAAAUGAAAA